GACAGAGGAUGCAAGCGUUGUCCGGAAUUAUUGGGCGUAAAGAGCUCGUAGGCGGUUUGUUGCGUCGGCUGUGAAAUCCCGAGGCUCAACCUCGGGUCUGCAGUCGAUACGAGCAAACUAGAGUGUUGCAGGGGAGACUGGGAAUUCCUGGUGUAGCGGUGAAAUGCGCAGAUAUCAGGAGGAACACCAAUAGCGAAGGCAGCUCGCUGGGACGUUACUGACACUGGAGGCGCGAAAGCGUGGGGAGCGAACAGG
rnacentral:rRNA from 1 species